CCUACGGGAGGCAGCAGUAAGGAAUAUUGGACAAUGGUCGCAAGACUGAUCCAGCCAUGCCGCGUGCAGGAUGACGGCCCUAUGGGUUGUAAACUGCUUUUAUACGGGAAAAAACCCCUCUACGUGUAGAGGGCUGAUUGUACUGUAAGAAUAAGGAUCGGCUAACUCCGUGCCAGCAGCCGCGGUAAUACGGAGGAUCCAAGCGUUAUCCGGAUUCAUUGGGUUUAAAGGGUGCGUAGGCGGAAUAAUAAGUCAGUGGUGAAAGCCCUCAGCUUAACUGAGGAACUGCCAUUGAUACUGUUAAUCUUGAGUAUAUUUGAUGUGGGCGGAAUGUGUCAUGUAGCGGUGAAAUGCCUAGAUAUGACACAGAACACCGAUUGCGAAGGCAGCUCACAAAACUAUAACUGACGCUGAGGCACGAAAGCGUGGGUAUCAAACAGGAUUAGAUACCCUGGUAGUCCACGCUGUAAACUAUGAUUACUCGAUGUUUGCGAUACACUGUAAGCGUCUAAGCGAAAGCGAUAAGUAAUCCACCUGGGGAGUACGCCGGCAACGGUGAAACUCAAAUGAAUUGACCGGNUGAGACGNGCGAGGACGACACGAGGGAGGAGG
rnacentral:rRNA from 1 species